rnacentral:rRNA from 1 species
UACGUAGGGUGCGAGCGUUAAUCGGAAUUACUGGGCGUAAAGCGUGCGCAGGCGGUUUUGUAAGCCAGAUGUGAAAUCCCCGGGCUUAACCUGGGAACUGCAUUUGGGACUGCAAGGCUUGAGUACGGCAGAGGGGGGUAGAAUUCCGCGUGUAGCAGUGAAAUGCGUAGAGAUGCGGAGGAACACCGAUGGCGAAGGCAGCCCCCUGGGCUAGCACUGACGCUCAGGCACGAAAGCGUGGGGAGCAAACAGG